rnacentral:rRNA from 1 species
AACGAACGCUGGCGGCAUGCCUAACACAUGCAAGUCGAACGAGCUCUUCGGAGCUAGUGGCGCACGGGUGCGUAACGCGUGGGAACCUGCCCUUAGGUUCGGAAUAACACAGAGAAAUUUGUGCUAAUACCGGAUAAUGUCUUCGGACCAAAGAUUUAUCGCCUUUGGAUGGGCCCGCGUAGGAUUAGCUAGUUGGUGAGGUAAAGGCUCACCAAGGCGACGAUCCUUAGCUGGUCUUAGAGGAUGAUCAGCCACACUGGGACUGAGACACGGCCCAGACUCCUACGGGAGGCAGCAGUGGGGAAUAUUGGACAAUGGGCGCAAGCCUGAUCCAGCAAUGCCGCGUGAGUGACGAAGGCCUUAGGGUUGUAAAGCUCUUUUACCCGGGAUGAUAAUGACAGUACCGGGAGAAUAAGCCCCGGCUAACUCCGUGCCAGCAGCCGCGGUAA